CAGCACAGACUUUCAGGAUGGAGCUGGGAAGUCGGUCUUCUGAAUAAGCAAGUUUGCUGACUGAACAGAAUGGGGGCACGUUGAGUGCCUGAGAGUGGGCGUUGCUCUGGCAAGAUGACUCACUGAGAACACAGAUGACUCAAAGGUGGCCUGCUGCAUCAUCAAGAAGCCCACUCCAGCAUGGGUAACAAAAACUGCAUCCCUGGAGUCCCUAAGGGUCAGAGCGUCUUCUUACCAGUGGCUGUUGCUGCUUGGGAAAUACCCUGGGGAGUGGCCUUGUGAACAGCAUCUUGUACUCCACUCCCUGACUCUCAUGAGCUUCCCACCUCCCUCCAGGAAGGGAUGUUUCUGUUGGAAGGAAAUCCCUCCUCACAGAGCACAAGGUCCAUG
rnacentral:lncRNA from 1 species